rnacentral:rRNA from 1 species
GAUGAACGCUGACAGAAUGCUUAACACACGCAAGUCAACUUGAACUUCGGUUUGGGUGGCGGACGGGUGAGUCACGCGUAAAGAACUUGCCUCACAGAUAGGGACAACAUUUGGAAACGAAUGCUAAUACCUGAUAUUAUGAUUAUAUGGCAUCGUAUAAUUAUGAAAGCUAUAUGCGCUGUGAGAGAGCUUUGCGUCCCAUUAGCUAGUUGGAGAGGUAACGGCUCACCAAGGCGAUGAUGGGUAGCCGGCCUGAGAGGGUGAUCGGCCACAAGGGGACUGAGACACGGCCCUUACUCCUACGGGAGGCAGCAGUGGGGAAUAUUGGACAAUGGACCAAGAGUCUGAUCCAGCAAUUCUGUGUGCACGAUGAAGUUUUUCGGAAUGUAAAGUGCUUUCAGUUGGGAAGAAAAAAAUGACGGUACCAACAGAAGAAGUGACGGCUAAAUACGUG